rnacentral:rRNA from 1 species
GAUGAACGCUAGCUACAGGCUUAACACAUGCAAGUCGAGGGGAAACGACAUCGAAAGCUUGCUUUUGAUGGGCGUCGACCGGCGCACGGGUGAGUAACGCGUAUCCAACCUGCCCACCACUUGGGGAUAACCUUGCGAAAGUAAGACUAAUACCCAAUGAUAUCUCUAGAAGACAUCUGAAAGAGAUUAAAGAUUUAUCGGUGAUGGAUGGGGAUGCGUCUGAUUAGCUUGUUGGCGGGGUAACGGCCCACCAAGGCGACGAUCAGUAGGGGGUCUGAGAGGAAGGUCCCCCACAUUGGAAAUGAGACACGGUCCAAACUCCUACGGGAGGCAGCAGUGAGGAAUAUUGGUCAAUGGGCGAGGGCCUGAACCAGCCAAGUAGCGUGCAGGAAGACGGCCCUAUGGGUUGUAAACUGCUUUUAUAAGGGAAUAAAGUGAGUCUCGUGAGACUUUUUGCAUGUACCUUAUGAAUAAGGACCGGCUAAUUCCGUGCCAGCCGCCGCAGUAAAAC